rnacentral:rRNA from 1 species
CGGAGGAUCCAAGCGUUAUCCGGAUUUAUUGGGUUUAAAGGGUGCGUAGGCGGCCUGUUAAGUCAGGGGUGAAAGACGGUAGCUCAACUAUCGCAGUGCCCUUGAUACUGAUGGGCUUGAAUGGACUAGAGGUAGGCGGAAUGAGACAAGUAGCGGUGAAAUGCAUAGAUAUGUCUCAGAACACCGAUUGCGAAGGCAGCUUACUAUGGUCUUAUUGACGCUGAGGCACGAAAGCGUGGGGGAUCAAACAGGAUUAGAUACCCUGGUAGUCCACGCCCUAAACGAUGAACACUCGCUGUUGGCGAUACACAGUCAGCGGCUAAGCGAAAGCGUUAAGUGUUCCACCUGGGGAGUACGCUCGCAAGAGUG